rnacentral:rRNA from 1 species
AAAACGGAGAGUUUGAUCCUGGCUCAGGAUGAACGCUGGCGGUAUGCUUAACACAUGCAAGUCGAACGGAUGUUUUCGGACAUUAGUGGCGGACGGGUGAGUAACGCGUGAGAAUCUAGCUUCAGGUUGGGGACAACAGUUGGAAACGACUGCUAAUACCGAAUAUGCCGAGAGGUGAAAGAUUAAUUGCCUGAAGAAGAGCUCGCGUCUGAUUAGCUAGUUGGUGGGGUAAGAGCUUACCAAGGCGACGAUCGGUAGCUGGUCUGAGAGGACGAUCAGCCACACUGGGACUGAGACACGGCCCAGACUCCUACGGGAGGCAGCAGUGGGGAAUUUUCCGCAAUGGGCGAAAGCCUGACGGAGCAAUACCGCGUGAGGGAAGAAGGCUCUUGGGUUGUAAACCUCUUUUCUUAGGGAAGAAAAAAAUGACGGUACCUAAGGAAUAAGCAUCGGCUAACUCCGUGCCAGCAGCCGCGGUAAUACGGAGGAUGCAAGCGUUAUCCGGAAUGAUUGGGCGUAAAGCGUCCGCAGGUGGUUUAUCAAGUUUGCGGUUAAAGGUUCUGGCUCAACCAGAGACAGGCCGUGAAAACUGAUAGACUAGAGUAUGGUAGGGGCAGAGGGAAUUCCCAGUGUAGCGGUGAAAUGCGUAGAGAUUGGGAAGAACACCGGUGGCGAAAGCGCUCUGCUAGGCCAAAACUGACACUGAGGGACGAAAGCUAGGGGAGCGAAUGGGAUUAGAUACCCCAGUAGUCCUAGCCGUAAACGAUGGAUACUAGGUGUAGCUUGUAUCGACCCAAGCUGUGCCGUAGCUAACGCGUUAAGUAUCCCGCCUGGGGAGUACGCGCGCAAGCGUGAAACUCAAAGGAAUUGACGGGGGCCCGCACAAGCGGUGGAGUAUGUGGUUUAAUUCGAUGCAACGCGAAGAACCU